AGCGCACUUGUCACUUGGAGAGACUGCUUAGACUGACCCCUCACAGGCAUAGAACUUGAGUGGAAGAGCUGGACCUGAAGCCACCAUUCAUGGAGAUGGUAUAGUAAUGAAGAAUACCGGCUCUGGGUGUGCAGACUGCUUUUACCACCUGCUUAGCUGGAUGAUCUGGGCAGACAAUUAUCAAACCUCUU